AUUGAACGCUGGCGGCAGGCCUAACACAUGCAAGUCGAGCGAGCGGCGGACGGUUGAGUAAUGUCUGGGAAACUGCCUGAUGGAGGGGGAUAACUACUGGAAACGGUAGCUAAUACCGCAUACCAUCAGAUGUGCCCAGAUGGGAUUAGCUAGUGGGUGGGGUAAUGGCUCACCUAGGCGACGAUCCCUAGCUGGUCUGAGAGGUUGACCAGCCACACUGGAACUGAGACACGGUCCAGACUCCUACGGGAGGCAGCAGUGGGGAAUAUUGCACAAUGGGCGCAAGCCUGAUACAGCCAUGCCGCGUGUGUGAAGAAGGCCUUCGGGUUGUAAAGCACUUUCAGCGGGGAGGCGUUACCCGCAGAAGAAGCAACGGCUAACUACGUGCCAGCAGCCGCGGUAAUAC
rnacentral:rRNA from 1 species